UACGAAGGGGGCUAGCGUUGCUCGGAAUCACUGGGCGUAAAGCGCACGUAGGCGGAUUGCUAAGUCAGGGGUGAAAUCCUGGAGCUCAACUCCAGAACUGCCUUUGAUACUGGCGGUCUCGAGUCCGGGAGAGGUGAGUGGAACUGCGAGUGUUGAGGUGAAAUUCGUAGAUAUUCGCAAGAACACCAGUGGCGAAGGCGGCUCACUGGCCCGGUACUGACGCUGAGGUGCGAAAGCGUGGGGAGCAAACAGG
rnacentral:rRNA from 1 species